rnacentral:rRNA from 1 species
UACCAGCACCCCGAGUGGUCGGGACGUUUAUUGGGCCUAAAGCAUCCGUAGCCGGUUCUACAAGUCUUCCGUUAAAUCCACCUGCUUAACAGAUGGGCUGCGGAAGAUACUAUAGAGCUAGGAGGCGGGAGAGGCAAGCGGUACUCGAUGGGUAGGGGUAAAAUCCGUUGAUCCAUUGAAGACCACCGGUGGCGAAGGCGGCUUGCCAGAACGCGCUCGACGGUGAGGGAUGAAAGCUGGGGGAGCAAACCGG